AUUGAACGCUGGCGGCAGGCCUAACACAUGCAAGUCGAGCGGAUGAAGGGAGCUUGCUCCUGGAUUCAGCGGCGGACGGGUGAGUAAUGCCUAUGAAUCUGCCUGCUAGUGGUGUAUAACGUCCGGAAACGGGCGCGACUACCGCCUACGUCCUGAGGGAGAUGGAGGGGGAUCUUCGGACCUCACGCUAUCAGAUGAGCCUAGGUCGGAUUAGCUAGCUUGUGGGGUAAGGGCUUACCUAGGCGACGAUCCGUAAAUGGUCUGAGAGGAUGAUCAGUCGCAUUGGAAGUGGGACACGGUCCUGAGUCCUAAGGGAGGCCGCAGUGGGGAAUAUUGGGCAAUGGGCGAAAGUCUGAUCCAGUGAGGGCGAGUCUGUGGAGAAGGUCUUGCGAUUGUAAAGAAGUUUAAGGUGGGGGAAAGGGCAGUAAGUUAAUACGUUGCUGUUUUGACGUUAAUAAGAGAAUAAGCACCGGCUAACUUCGUG
rnacentral:rRNA from 1 species